ACACCUCUUUGUUUAGCCCCUAGUAAGUCUGUGGCAACAUUGUCUGAUGCAUGUUGGCCAGAAGAGAUGUGACAAAGAGAUUCUCCAUCCAGCAAUGGGUCAAAAGGAUUAACCAUAUUUUGGAUAGUGGUCAAAAUGUUCAUCACAUCAGCCUGAUCUCUCUGCAUUCUGGUGUUGUCUAGCUCAGAGUUAAGAUGUCCUACCGGGCACUUUCCUGCCAUUGUUUUGCAUUCAAAAGUGAUUGCUGCCCGCUCAUGUUGUGUUAGGGUCCAGCGGUGAACUGCACCUUUGUUCAGAGAGAACCCACUGAUGCCUCCCUUUGUCUUUGAGUCACGAUUGGCUGUUUGCUCAAUGACUUGAUCACAUGCGGUGCCGGCAAAACCAUGACUUUGAUGUCUUUGUGCCACAAAGUCCCCUGAAAGAAGCUGCUGGUGUGCUGAAGGGUGUGUGUCUUCCAGGUUGGUCAUUUCAGCCCAAUAUGCCGUCAAAUACCUGGCAUAAUUUACUUUGUCACAGGCAAAAAACCAGGGCAGCAUACUUCGCACUGUGGACAAAUGGAGAGCCCAGUUCCCCUCUCUUGUUGCCCUGAUGAAAAGAAGCAAAUCUUCCAUCAUGUCAAGAUGAGGAGGAAGCAGAGGAGACAGCAACUUCAUGCACAAUCUCAUCAGCUGACAGAUUGUCCACAUAUACAAGGUACCGGGUAUAAUCUCGAUAGCAGGUGAAGUGAUACCGUGCUUCACUAGCCACCAAGUCCCUGUCUUGGAUAUGGAGAAGGAGAGACUCAUCCCUUCUGCCUUCAGCAGCGAGAAGCAAUUUCCCGGCAUGGAGUGUUUCACACAGUGUUAGUUUUUCUUUUAUCCUUUUCCUGCUGUGUGUCUGAACCUUGUACUUCUCAUGUUUGCAAAUAAUGCAUUGUACUGGAAGCAGGUGUGGGGCACGCUUGGAUGUGUAGAGGUCACUGGUGUAAGACCUCAGAGCCCGUGUUUUCACUGGAGUUGCCUGACCAUCCUCUGCCUCUACCACUAAAAAAGUGCAAAACAAUAGAUUUAGAUUCUGCACCCUUCUCUCACAUCACUGAUUAAAGAAAAAUGGUUUGUAACAUUCAGCAGGGGAAACCUCAUGCUCCAUAUAUUGGUUCCACCUGUUCCCUUAACAUGGGGACCAUUUUGCUAUAAUUGGAAGGGUACAUUUUGGCAGGGUGUUUUUAUUAUAUUGCUGUUUAUACACUACAUAUAUCUAUAUUAUUUGUACUAUUCUUAUGUUACUGCUACUACAUUGCACAUAUCUGUACAUGUUCAUACAUUGUUCAUAUUGCUUAUCCAUAUUUAUUCUUAUAAGGCUACUGCUAAUAUACUAAUACACACAUUUAUAUGUAAUUUAUAUUACUGUAAACCAUACUACUUUCCUAACUGUAUACUACUAUCUACACAUCUUUAUCAAUACUAGUGAAACAGCUGUACUUGUAUUCCCAACUUGUAUUCUAUUAUGUCAUGUAUAUUGUAUCCUAUUAUUUAAUGUAUAUUCUGUAUGUGUGCUGUGUCUGAUAUUUUGC